UGGGGAAUAUUGCACAAUGGGCGCAAGCCUGAUGCAGCGACGCCGCGUGCGGGAUGGAGGCCUUCGGUUGUAAACCGCUUUUGUUCAAGGGCAAGGCAGGCUUUUCGGGCCUGUUGAGUGGAUUGUUCGG
rnacentral:rRNA from 1 species